AUCCUCUCAGGGUCACACCUGGAGAGUUCCCAGUACUCUACCUGUCUAGCCUAUAAGAGGGAGAGUCAAGCAGGGGCAUACUUAUUCCAUUCUUAGCUUGGGCAGUGGCUAGCGAGUGGAAGGCAAUCUGCUACAAGU